GUCGCAUGACACAGUGUGAAAACACUCCGGUGGUAUGAGAUGGACCCGCGUCUGAUUAGCUAGUUGGUGAGGUAACGGCCCACCAAGGCGACGAUCAGUAGCCGGCCUGAGAGGGUGAACGGCCACAUUGGGACUGAGACACGGCCCAAACUCCUACGGGAGGCAGCAGUGGGGAAUAUUGCACAAUGGGGGAAACCCUGAUGCAGCGACGCCGCGUGAGUGAUGAAGUAUUUCGGUAUGUAAAGCUCUAUCAGCAGGGAAGAUAAUGACGGUACCUGACUAAGAAGCACCGGCCAAAUACGUGCCAGCAGCCGCGGUAAUACGUAUGGUGCAAGCGUUAUCCGGAUUUACUGGGUGUAAAGGGUGCGUAGGUGGCAAGGCAAGUCUGAAGUGAAAAUCCGGGGCUCAACCCCGGAACUGCUUUGGAAACUGUUUAGCUAGAGUACAGGAGAGGUAAGUGGAAUUCCUAGUGUAGCGGUGAAAUGCGUAGAUAUUAGGAGGAACACCAGUGGCGAAGGCGACUUACUGGACUGCUACUGACACUGAGGCACGAAAGCGUGGGGAGCAAACAAGAUUACAUACCCUGGUAGUCCACGCCGUA
rnacentral:rRNA from 1 species